AAUAACAUUUUUCUUGUUUUUAAAGAAUAUUACUUGUUCUAGUUAUGCUGCCACUCUUGCGAUCAUAAAAUAUUUUUUAUAAAUAUUUGCAGCGAAGAAUUUUGACAAUACCUAAUAUACACCUUUAAAAUAAAAUAAAAAUCAGUUAAAUUGUACUCACCCAUCAAAAGAAAAUAUUUUUGAAUUUUGUGUCAAUAUGCUGUAAUAAUUUUGCUAAAUUGUUAGUGGUUAAUGAUUUACUGGCGUGAGUUGAUUAUUUGUUCUAAAUAGAGUUACGGCAAUUUUGGCAUGCAAAAUGAUAUGUUGCUGCCGGAUGAGACUUACGACGAACACAUAGAGUCUGCAGCGCAAGCAGAAGUCAAGCAAACCCAACCAAUAAAUAAAAAUAAAACAAAUAAAAGUAAAAGUGUCAAAACUAAAGCUCGAUUACCGAGUAAUCAACGAGAGCGCAAUGACUCACUCACAGGCAGCGCCGAGACGCAUAGCGGUACUGGCAGUGGCGAUAGCAGCAUUAGCAGUGGCGGUAUUAUCUCAUUUCCUUAUUGCACUUCGAGUUUCUUCACCAAUAUCCUCGACACUUUGGGCGACAUCUUGCCGCAAAGUGAAGAAUUCUCAACACACCAACAACCUGCGACGCGGCAAAGCGAUGCCGAAGCGACUGACGAAAGUCCGCGCCUCAGUCCCAACAGCAGCAGUGACAGCGCUGCUGAUUCGUCUAGUGGCCAACGGCUAACGGCCAGUGCCGAUAUGCUGCGUGUCGUUUGCGAUAAUUUCCUGCGUCGACAUCGCAUACGUCCGGACUUUUUCUGUCAAUACCAACAGGCGAUCAGCGCUGCUGCUCUAUUGCAACAAAACAAACCAAAGAAUGUGACAACAACAGCAACAACAACGAUUGCAUGUGAACAACCAGCGACUGUAGCUGCGGCUAAGCAGUCUGUGAUUGCAGCAACUACAACAGCGGAGACCGUUGCGGUGACAAUAAAAUCCGAUGAGGCGGCGGAGCUGGUGAACCCACAGCAGCGACAAAAUGUAGAAUUGCGAAAUCUUUAUACAUUGCCGCUGGUAAAACGCAAGAAAGCGCGCAAUGCGACUGAAACACCAACUAAAACAGCAGCGUCAACAACAACACCAACAACGAUAGCUGCGGCAACAACAGACGCAUCCUCAUCCAAUGAAGCCGUGCACUUGCAGCAGCGCCUCAAGAGCCUCAGCACUGAGUUAGUCACCCUACGCAAUCGGUUGCAUGUUGGACAGGGACAACAAACCAACAACAACAACAGCAAUAAUAAUAAUAAUAGCAACAACAACAACAAUAGCCAUAACAACACCAGCAAUUGCAAUGUCACAACGGUGAGUAACUUACAACAGCACCAACAACAACAACAGCAACAUGUCAACAACACAGCUGGCUUGACCGGCCUUAAUUUGCAUGCUUCCACACCGAAUUUGCACAACAGCACGCAGCAUCUGAACAAUAGUAACACAACAACAACAAAUUGCAUAAAUAAUAAUAGCUUGCAACAGCAUCAGCAGCAGCACCAACAGCAACAACAAUUGCAAUUAACACACUCCACACUAAUUCCCACACACGGCAGCAAUAGCAGUAAUAACAAUAACAACGCAAUUAACAAAUCUAAUAGCGGCAAUUGCAAUAUCAGCAACAACAACAACAAUAAUAAUAAUAACAAUGUCUCCUUGACAUCAUGCACUAACGUCAACAGCACAAACACCGCCUUUACGCACAUCAAUAGCAAUAACAACAACAACAACAAUAAGUCACAUUUGCACAGCUUUAGCCACACAUUGCCACAUAAUUCAACGAUUUCCGCCGGCAACACAGCGACUUUGCCGUCCGGCGCCGCUGCGGGCAUCGUUUCCACACGCAACACUUCCAUACCACACCCAUUGCCGUCAACUAUACAACAACAACAGCAACAACAUCACCAACAGCAACAGUCACACCACCAUCAGCACCACCAACAACAUCAGCAGCAGCAACAGCUGCAGCAACAACAUAACGCGCACACGCUUCCGAUGCGCUCCUCGGCCAGCAUUGGCGCGCAUGUCCAUCACCUUAGCCACCAUAAUUUGCCACCCUUCAUACCGAUUGCUCAGAAGCAUGCAAGCGCCAGUCAUGGCAACAGUUUCAGCAAUAUUGUCGCACCCUUCGGUUACAGCAACACCAAUGUCGAGCAGCGCAAUGUGAGCAACAGCUUUUUGGGCAACCUUCAGACACACCACAACAAUGCCGGUCAUAACAACAACAGCGUUGGCAACGCCGGCGCACACAAGCAGCCGCGUGAGAUUGAGGAUCUGAUACAUCUACCCGGUCCACUAACCGAGGAUGCAGUGAUGCGCACGCUGCAGGCGCGCUUCAGCGACAACUGCUACUUUACCAAUGUCGGCCCCAUACUGCUCUCCAUCAAUCCCUAUCGUGAUGUUGGCAAUCCGCUCACACUCACCUCCACCCGCUCAUUACCGCUGGCGCCGCAGUUGAACAAGAUCGUACAGGAGGCUGUACGUCAGCAGACGGAGACCGGUUAUCCGCAAGCUAUUAUACUUUCCGGCACUUCGGGUGCCGGUAAGACGCACUGUUCGAUGCUGCUGCUACGUCAGCUAUUCGCUGUCGCUGGUGGCGGCCCGGAGACGGAUGCGUUUAAGCAUUUGGCUGCCGCCUUUACGGUGCUACGUUCUUUGGGUUCCGCCAAGACCACAACUAACUCGGAAUCGAGUCGUAUUGGCCAGUUUAUCGAGGUGCAGGUCACUGAUGGCGCUCUCUAUCGCACCAAGAUACACUGUUACUUUUUGGAUCAGACACGUGUCAUACGCCCGCUGCCGAAGGAGAAGAAUUAUCAUAUCUUCUAUCAAAUGCUUGCCGGUUUGAGUAGAGAGGAACGCAUCAAAUUGAAUUUGGAGGGCUAUUCGCCGGCGAAUUUGCGUUAUUUGCAAAGCGGCGAUAUUGUGCAGAAUGAACAAGAGGAUGCUGCACGCUUUCAAGCAUGGAAGACUUGUUUGGGUAUCUUGGGUAUACCGUUUUUGGAUGUGGUGCGUGUACUUGCCGCUGUUUUGCUGCUGGGGAAUGUGCAAUUUAUUGAUGGACAGAGCCUCGAAGUGGACGUCAAAGGUGAAGCCGAACUGAACUCCGUCGCCAGCUUGUUAGGUGUGCCACCAGCUGCACUCUUUCGUGGACUCACCACGCGCACACACAACGCACGUGGUCAGUUGGUGAAGUCUGUCUGCGAUGCUAACAUGUCCAACAUGACACGCGACUGCCUCGCGAAAGCGCUUUACUGCCGCACCGUGGCCACCAUUGUACGACGCGCCAACAGCCUAAAAAGACUUGGCUCCACACUGGGCACUUUGAGCUCCGAUUCCAAUGAGUCGGUGCACAAUCAAGCCGAUGUCGCAUCACAGCACGCCUCUACUAUUGGCGGCAACUCUGGUUCGAAAUCAAUGGCAGCCUUAAAUAAUGCGGUACGUCAUGCCACGGACGGCUUUAUCGGCAUACUGGAUAUGUUUGGGUUCGAAGAGCCAUCACACGCACAAUUAGAGCAUCUCUGCAUCAAUUUAUGCGCCGAAACUAUGCAGCAUUUCUACAAUACGCACAUUUUUAAGUCUUCAGUGGAGUCUUGUCGUGAUGAGGGCAUUGUUUGCGAUGCUGAGGUAGACUAUGUGGAUAAUGUGCCCUGCAUAGAUUUGAUAUCUUCGCUACGCACCGGCUUGCUAAGCAUGCUGGACGCUGAGUGCUCCAUACGCGGCACCGCCGAGAGUUAUGUCGCCAAGAUUAAGGUGCAACAUCGCAACUCAACGCGGCUAGAGACGAAGCACGCGAGCGAACCCUAUGAUCCACGCAUGUUUAUGAUACGUCACUUUGCUGGGCGUGUUGAAUACGAUACCACCGACUUUCUGGAUACAAAUCGUGAUGUGGUGCGUGAUGACUUGGUCGCCGUCUUCUAUAAGCAUACCUGCAAUUUCGGCUUCGCCACACAUCUCUUCGGUUCGGAGCUGAAGGCAUUGUACGCAUUGCAGAAUGUGCCACGCGGUCUCAGUUUCCGUAUUUCACCCACAUCGCAUACGGAUCUAUUGAAUGGCGACGAACCGGUCUCGACGCUCACGCAAGACUUCCACACACGCUUAGACAAUUUGCUGCGCACGCUAGUGCACGCGCGUCCACACUUUGUGCGCUGCAUACGCAGCAAUGCCAAUGAAACGGCCGGCUGCUUCGAGCGCAAGAUGGUCGUACGGCAGAUACGCUCACUACAGGUGCUGGAGACCGUUAACCUAAUGGCAUCUGGUUUUCCGCAUCGCAUGCGCUUCAAGCAGUUCAAUGCGCGUUAUGUCGCUAUGUUGGCGCCGUUUCGCCUGCAUCGUCGCAGCGAGGAUAAGGCCAUGGAAGAUUGCAAUCUGAUUUUAGAGUUUGCCAUGGAGAAUCCGCCGGUAUUGGAUGGUUCCGUCACGCUCGCUUGGGCGCCUGGCAAGCGCCAUGUAUUCCUUAGCGAGGGCAUGCGUCAGCAUUUGGAACAUCUGCGCGCGGAGAUACGCACCAAAAGCGCCACAUUGAUACAGGCCACCUGGCGUGGCUGGCAGUGGCGCAAGAAGAUGGGCGGUGUGAAGCGUACGCGCGGCGUUAAUGGCGUCAUAACUAUGCUACCGACUGCGUCAAGCGCAACUAAACUGACGAAGUUGCUGCCCAACAGCGGCGCGAAUUCGCUACCGCGUCUAUCGGCGAAAUCUACAAAUCUUAUGGGCACCGUAACGCGUCCACGUCCGCAACCAAUCGCCGGCACACCACCACCUGAUCCGAAUGAGAAAUGCGACACAAAGAUAAUCCAACAAACCUGCAGCCUAUUCGGAUUAGAUUUGGACAACUGCAAAGAUUGCUUUAUCUAUUCAAAUAUGCAUAAGUUGGCCGAGAAAAUUAGCUAAGCUCAGCAAGUAAAUGAACUUUUUACGUAGAAGUAUUAAAGAUGCAUGGCAAAUAAGGCAAAUAUACGGAUUGUUAUAUAAUAUGCUUGGAUUUAUGUUUUCUAGCGCGUGGUUGCGGAAAUGCAAAAAUGUAUACCACUGCUGAUAAUCUGAGUAGCAUUGACUUCAAAGCGGAAAUCGGAGUAGAAAUGAUAAAGUAAAAAAAAUAAAUAAUUUUUUCUUUCCUUUUGCUGCAGUAUUGACAGGAAACUGUCCACACGACGAACAGGUGCGAGUGGUGGCAGUACAUGCAACAAGGAGAUGAAGAAACUACAGAUUGGAUAUGACACUGAUGUAAUUCAAUUAAAUUCAGCACGCAGUGACUAAAUGACUAAACGAGUG
rnacentral:misc_RNA from 1 species